CACCCGUGAUUUUCUCGCCGGCAUGACCGACCGCUACGCCGUGGCCCUGUUCGAGAACCUCUUUAUCCCGAAGCCAUGGGUCGGGCCGUUGGAUGUCGACCGCUGACGGUCGACUAUCGACUAUUGACCAUCGACUAUCAACCAUGGACUAUAAUUAUUUGUUCUGCCGGCGGAUAAACUGCCGGCAGUAGCCCGUUAUGUAUCUCAGCCUGCGGUCCUUACACGACGCUCACCA
rnacentral:misc_RNA from 1 species